ensembl:lncRNA
AUCAAAUCUCCUAUCUGUGCAGCAUGGCAGUUUAAGUAGCCCAGGUCGGAGUACCAGCUGUUGCAGUUGUAGCUAUUAAAGAAGCUAUCAAAUGAUUUCUGCUCUGUGCAUGUUAUAUUAAAGACGACUGUGCAGAGAUUUUGCUUUCAACCUUUCAGUCGUCCGAGUGUCAGCUGAAAGAGCUGGAUAUCAGUUACAACUGCCUAACCAAGAAAGGCAUGACAUUGGUCCUUCAGGGUCUGCAGCGUCCCAGCUGUUAUCUUGAAAUAUUAAGCAAUCCAGCAACUCCAUUUCCCAGGAUGCACCACCAACUACAAACAUGGCCGAAGAGGAC